rnacentral:lncRNA from 1 species
GUCGGAGGCGCUUCCGCUGCAGGAGGUUGAGGUCGCGGCCUUCGUUUCUCCCGGGGAGGACCACGGACACGAUCGUGGUCUCUGCAGCCUCUUCUCCUCCCCCUGCCCUGUCUUCGGAAAGAGGGCUGCAGAGAGGAGGGGGGAGCCCCACCGCCCAGGACUCCGCAUUCGUCUUCCGUGUCGGCUCCGAGUGGUGGAAGAAACACUAGCAAAUGUUUCUGCUACAAAGGCGACAACAUGGAGACAGGGAGCCAGGGAGCGUAAGGUACUUAUCCUGCAGUCACCGUGCUAGGAAGAGCAGGCGGACUCGAGUCUAGGGCUUGUGUUCCUUAGGUCUUUGGUGUCACAGUUUAAACAUCCCCAAAUUGGAGUUAGGAGACAAAAUAGGAAAACAAUAUUCAGCCAUAGGAAGCUGGCUGCGGAGGAUCAUUUGGGAUCAAGUUAUGGAGGUAGGCUGGAAUAUUGUGGCAGAGGAUUUUGAAAGCAG